rnacentral:ncRNA from 1 species
GAGAUUUGAAUUUUGUAAGAGGACUCCCUUAACUUAAGCAUAUCAAUAAGGGAAGGAAGAAAAAAUAACAAUGAUUUCUUUAGUAAUGGCGAAUGAAAAAGAAAGAGAUCAAGUCGAUAAAGAAUUCACUUUGUAAAGCUUAAAAAGGAGGUUAGCAAUAGCUGAGAGUUUGAGCAAAAGGGAAUGAAUGUGGUGAUAGUAUUUUGAUUUGAAAGGGAUUAAAUUGAAUGAACAACGGAUGAAAACGUGACCAGAGAAAGUGAAAGUCUUGUCAAAGCAAUUUAAUUCAUAAAAGAAUUGAAAUAAGUAAAGAGUAUAUUUAUUUGGAAGUAUAAAUUGAAAAGGAGAUAGUAUUCUUCAAAAUCUAAAUACAAGGAGAAAACUGAUAGAAAAGAAGUACAGUGAUGGAAAACCGAAAAGAACUUUGAGAAAAGAGUUAAAAGAGCUUGAAAGAGUACUAUUUGAACGGAUAUUUUAUGAGAAAAACAGAGGAAGUGCAAGGCGAGUAGUAGUUUCCGAUUGAUUAAUUCAUGAUAGAGUUAGUUGAGAAGAGAUUGCUUUGAGCUGAGCAAAGAGACUGUUAAGAGCAAAAGACUUAUUUCAUGACAUGUAUUAUUCCGAAGAGAGUUGCAUCGAAGAGAUUUGGUGUAAUAAUUUCAACGGGAAGAGAAGAAUUAUAUGAAACACGUGGAAUGAGAGGAUAUUAAAUUCAUACUGAACACAAUUGGGAAAAUUUAGUAUUUACUUUUGAAGCAAUAAAAUAUCUACCCGUCUUGAAACACGGACCAAGGAGUCUAACAUGGAUGCGAAUGUGAAUGGUCAGGAAACCAUUACAUGAAGAGAAAACGAAAUAAUAUGAGGAGGUAACACUUCAGCAAUAUUAUCUUUGAAUAGAAGAAGUAAACUUGUUAGGACCCGAAAGAUGGUGAACUAUACUUGAGGGAUUUGAAGCCGAAGGAAACUUUGGUGGAAGAAUCACGCAGUGUUAACGUGCAAA